rnacentral:rRNA from 1 species
AACGAACGCUGGCGGCAGGCCUAACACAUGCAAGUCGAACGCCCUAGCAAUAGGGAGUGGCGCACGGGUGCGUAACGCGUGGGAAUAUGCCCUUCACUGCGGAAUAACGUUUGGAAACGAACGCUAAUACCGCAUAAUGACUCCGGUCCAAAGAUUUAUCGGUGAAGGAUUAGCCCGCGUUAGAUUAGCUAGUUGGUGAGGUAAUGGCUCACCCAAGGCGACGAUCUAUAGCUGGUCUGAGAGGAUGAUCAGCCACACUGGGACUGAGACACGGCCCAGACUCCUACGGGAGGCAGCAGUGAGGAAUAUUGGACAAUGGGCGCAAGCCUGAUCCAGCCAUGCCGCGUGAGUGAAGAAGGCC